CUACGGGGCGCUGCAGUAGGGAAUCUUAGACAAUGGGGGAAACCCUGAUCUAGCCAUGCCGCGUGGGUGAUGAAGGCCUUAGGGUUGUAAAGCUCUUUCGCUGGGGAAGAUAAUGACGGUACCCAGUAAAGAAACCCCGGCUAACUCCGUGCCAGCAGCCGCGGUAAUACGGAGGGGGUUAGCGUUGUUCGGAAUUACUGGGCGUAAAGCGCGCGUAGGCGGGCUAUUAAGUCAGGGGUGAAAUCCCGGGGCUCAACCCCGGAACUGCCUUUGAUACUGGUAGUCUUGAGUUCGAGAGAGGUGAGUGGAAUUCCGAGUGUAGAGGUGAAAUUCGUAGAUAUUCGGAGGAACAUCAGUGGCGAAGGCGACUCACUGGCUCGAUACUGACGCUGAGGUGCGAAAGUGUGGGGAGCAAACAGGAUUAGAUACCCUAGUAGUC
rnacentral:rRNA from 1 species